rnacentral:rRNA from 1 species
GUUGAACGCUGGCGGCAGGCCUAACACAUGCAAGUCGAGCGGAUGAAGGGAGCUUGCUCCUGGAUUCAGCGUCGGACGGGUGAGUAAUGCCUAGGAAUCUGCCUGGUAGUGGGGGAUAACGUCCGGAAACGGGUGCUAAUACCGCAUACGUCCUGAGGGAGAAAGUUGGGGGUCUUCGGACCGCACGCUAUCAGAUGAGCCUAGGUCGGGUUUGCUAGUUGGUGGGGUAACGGCCUACCAAGGAGACGAUCCGUAACUGGUCUGAGAGGAUGAUAAGUCACACUGGAACUGAGACACGGUCCAGACUCCUACGGGAGGCAGCAGUGGGGAAUAUUGGACAAUGGGCGAAAGCCUGAUCCAGCCAUGCCGCGUGUGUGAAGAAGGUCUUCGGAUUGUAAAGCACUUUAAGUUGGGAGGAAGGGCAGUAAGUUAAUACCUUGCUGUUUUGACGUUACCAACAGAAUAAGCACCGGCUAACUUCGUG